rnacentral:lncRNA from 1 species
AAGGCCAUCACCCAGGUCAGCAAGGGCACCUGCGAGCAAGGCCCACUUUGCUCUUCCAAAGACUGCAUUGCCUUUACUGAAGGCUAGCUACAUCGAUGGCACACCACAUGAACAUGAUGAGUCGUCCUGUGAAGGAACCAAGCCAUCUGCAAUACAACCGCUGUUUGGAAACUUCAUCUUCUUACUGAGCUUGGCUGUCUGCUACAUGCUCCCUGUGGAGUGGAACAUCCGCAGACAUUUUAAAGGAACAGCUUUGUGUCCCACCAAAGGCACCCAUCCCUGGGUCUCUUAAGCUGCCAGGCGUCAGUGCUGUUUUGCACAGACGAUGCUAUUAAUAGCAUUGCAGUCUUUGGUUUCAAUGUAGAGGCUCUCAGGGACUUACCCUGGGAAUAGAGACAUCAGCAGAUUUCCAGAUGUUUCUUGGUUAUUGGAAUACCCUGACAGAUUUUUAGCUGUCAUGUCCUUCAGUCCAGCAAUCCAGAUGUUCUUUCUCUGCCAUUUGUCAUGGGGUAUAGCCAGGAUCUUAACUACUAGACACCUCUAGUAUUCUAAUAGAGUGUUAAUGGCAUUGGCAACACAGGGUAUGAGAAAUAACCUCAAUUUAAGUUAUUUUGUGGCAUCAGAACACAGUGCCAUUUAUGCUUUCUGUAAAAAUAUCCUUUGUAUCUUCCAGCUUCUGGCACUACUGACUUUGGAUCUGUGGGCAGUAUUUGGAUCAAGAGCAGUACUGUUACAGAUUGAAAACUCAGGGAGACGCACACACAUGUGCUGAUGACUGAACACUUAGACUCACACAUCAUAUGUGGACACUGCUGAUAUUGGAUGAUGUCAAGGUUCAGAAGACCUUCCAGAGGAUUUCGAGGAUCUUCUGUCCUCAAGGAAUCGAUUACAGAUUUCUACUUGCAGAAAAGCUCAGCUGGACACAGCUCAAGUGAGCUGCACAUAUAUUCUCCCUCUACAACCCACUAUAAAGGAGUGGAUGCUCUCUGGAACAUUCUAACCCCACUGCAGAGGCUCAGAACAGAGUAACAAUCACUGGUGUGGACAAUGUAUCUAAGGCUUAAGCUGACUGCUUUGCGGGAACACUUCAC